AGGGCGAAUCAAUACAGCAACGACCAAGAAUCUUCAAACAACGUUGACGUCCAACAGGACGAAAGACAAAAGAAGCUCAGUAAACAACGAUACAGCGAUGACCAAGAAUCUUCAAACAACGUCAACAUCCAACAGGAUGAAAGACAAAAGAAGCUCAAUAAAUAACGACUCAAAGCAAGAAUAGAUGAGGUAAUGAGAAAAAUUCUAUUUCAUUUCAUUAGUAAAACAUGCGUUACGAAGCCUUUGAAGGCCGAGAUUCAGGGGACCUCGCCUCAACGAGAAAGAAGACCCUUAUCAAAAAUCUUCGGUUCCAAAGGGCGAAUCAGCACAGCGACGAUCAGGAAUCUUCAAACAACGUCGACGUCAAACAGGAUGAAAGACAAAAGAAGUUUGGUAAACGAUAACUCAAUACCAAAAUAGACAAGGUAAUGGACAACUUCAUUUUCAUUUCAUUGGUGAAGUACACAUUACAAAGCCUUGAAGGUCAAAAACAAAAGAAAAACGACCAGAGGAAAAAAAAGGAAUACAUAAAAAAAAAGAAGAAAGGAGCUCUAAGGAAGCCCGACUUCUUUUGACUUCGAGCUCUCGGUCUCAGUCCUUAUUAGGGAUUGCCGUAAGUUUUCAACUUCUUCCUCUAGUUCCAUCUUUCUCAGCAGCAUAUUCCGGUACAUCUGGUGGAACCACCGGCUCUCGCCUUCCGACUCUCGAAGCCUCUUCCUCAGGACCUCAGACUCCGCCUCGACAUCUUUGAUCGCCUGUUGCU
rnacentral:lncRNA from 1 species